rnacentral:rRNA from 1 species
UACGUAGGGGGCUAGCGUUAUCCGGAAUUACUGGGCGUAAAGGGUGCGUAGGUGGUUUCUUAAGUCAGAGGUGAAAGGCUACGGCUCAACCGUAGUAAGCCUUUGAAACUGGGAAACUUGAGUGCAGGAGGGGAGAGUGGAAUUCCUAGUGUAGCGGUGAAAUGCGUAGGUAUUAGGAGGAACACCAGUUGCGAAGGCGGCUCUCUGGACUGUAACUGACACUGAGGCACGAAAGCGUGGGGAGCAAACAGG